GAGGUUGGACUCGUUUCCAGCAAGCAGACAUGUCAUUCCGAUUUCAUGCUGUGUCCUUUUUAGUUAGCAAGUUAACCAAUGUGUACCCUCUGUAAAAAUGAUUUGAAUUGUGCGUAAGCGCGAAGUUAUAACACAUUUUCAUUUACCCGUUGUUGGUAAUAGCAUUAUGUUACGAGUUGGAAGCGCAGUGGCCUGCAUGGCCUGCAGAAACCUGGUCUCCCCCAACAUGGGGGUGAGGUUCAGGAUGCCCUUACAGAAGCUGCACCCUCUGUCUCGUGCCAUCCACCACCGGUACAACUCCAGUGUCACCCCCCCACACCGCUCGGCAGCCCGCCACUUCACCUCCAUGUCCCGGCUGCCCAUGCAGCCCCCCAAGCCUCCCCCGGGCGGUCACGGCGGCUGGCGCUACCAGCAGCACCGCAACUUCUGGAUGCUCCGCCUGGCCUCCAGGCUGCUCAAGCUCCGGUACAUUGUGCUGGGCUCAGCAGUGGGAGGCGGGUACACCGCUAAGAAGACCUAUGAGGAAUGGAAGGAUAUGCUGCCUGAUCUGGGUGAAUACAAUUGGGUAAUACCUGACUUCUUCUGGGAGCUGAGUAAACAAAUUGACCUUGAUAAACUAACCAAAAUGCUGCCUGAGUUAGUGGAGAUUGCCAAGUUUCUACCAGAGUUACCCGAUUUAGAUAAGAUAGGAGAGAACUUCACCUUCCUCAAGAGCAUCCUCUUCACCGGUGUUGGUAGUAAAGGAGCUUCUGGUCAGCGUUUGUUGUUAGCCGAAGCCCCUGGCGACACUCCAGUGAAAGCUGCCACAGAUGCCCCGGUCACGGCCACACCAGAGGCCAGCCGCAAGCAGUUUAGAAAGUGUGACGUCCCUCAGGGUCUGCUCGACGAGCUCAUUCUCAUACAGCAGCAGAUCCAGCAGGCUGAGGAGGAGGUCAGGCGGGCCUCCGCGGCCAAUAACGCACAGCCAAGCCCAGAGCCCGCUCCCAGCCCACCCCUGCGCCUGUCUCCACCGCCACCUCCACCUCUGAGCCCGCCUCCACGCCAGAUACCCGAGCCAAUCCCAGCCAGCUCCCCGAGCCCCAGCCCCCCUCGGCAGAAAGGCAAGUCUUCAGACAAGGAGAAGGUGGACCAGCUUCAAGAGGAUCUGCUCCGAACUCAGAUGAAGUACCAGCGCAUGCUGGAGAGACUGGAGAAGGAGAACAAGGAGCUGAGGAAAGUGGUGCUGCAGAAAGACGAGAAAGGCAUCCACCAGAGGAAAGUCAAGGUGAGUAAGUCUCUGAUAGACAUGUACUCUGAGGUCCUGGACAUCCUCUCAGACUUCGACUCUAACUACAACACCCAGGACCAUCUACCCAGGGUGGUGGUGGUGGGAGACCAGAGUGCAGGGAAGACCAGUGUGUUGGAGAUGAUCGCCCAGGCUAGGAUCUUCCCCCGGGGCUCUGGAGAAAUGAUGACCCGCUCUCCUGUCAAGGUGACGCUGAGCGAGGGACCUCACCACGUGGCCAUGUUCAAGGACAGCAGUCGAGAGUUUGACCUGGGAAAAGAGGAGGACCUGGCUGCCCUGAGACAUGAGAUAGAGCUGAGGAUGAGGAAGAGUGUCAAGGAGGGACAGACAGUCAGCCCUGAGACGAUCUCUCUGAGUGUCAAAGGACCAGGCAUCCAGAGGAUGGUGCUAGUAGACCUACCAGGAGUCAUCAGUACUGUGACUGCAGGCAUGGCAACAGACACCAAGGAGACCAUCUUCGGCAUCAGUAAGAAAUACAUGCAGAACCCCAACGCCAUCAUCCUCUGUAUCCAGGAUGGGUCAGUGGAUGCAGAGCGCAGCAUCGUCACAGACCUGGUCAGUCAGAUGGACCCGCAUGGGAAGAGGACCAUCUUUGUCCUGACCAAAGUAGACCUGGCAGAGAAGAACCUGGCCAGCUCUAACCGGAUUCAACAGAUUGUUGAAGGAAAGUUGUUCCCUAUGAAAGCCUUGGGUUACUUUGCUGUGGUGACCGGGAAAGGCAGUGCUGGGGAAAGCAUUAACUCCAUCAAAGACUACGAAGAGGACUUCUUCCAGAACUCUAGACUACUGAGAGACGGCAUGCUGAAGGCCCACCAGGUGACUACUAAGAACCUGAGUCUGGCCGUUUCCGACUGCUUCUGGAAGAUGGUCAGGGAGUCAGUGGAGCAGCAGGCUGACGCCUUCAAAGCAUCCCGAUUCAACCUGGAGACAGAGUGGAAGAACAACUACCCCCGUCUGAGAGAGCUGGACAGGAAUGAACUCUUCGAAAAAGCCAAGAACGAAAUCUUGGACGAAGUCAUUAGCUUGAGUCAAGUGACACCGAAACACUGGGAGGCCAUCCUACAGAAGAAGCUGUGGGAGCGUGUGUCCACCCACGUCAUCGAGAACAUCUACCUGCCUGCAGCCCAGACCAUGAACUCUGGUACCUUCAACACCACCGUGGACAUCAAGCUCAAACAGUGGACAGACAAGCAGCUGCCUCACAAGGCAUUAGAGGUUGCCUGGGAGACGCUGCAGGAGGAGUUUGCCCGCUUCAUGGCGGAGUACAAAGGGAAGGACCAGGACGACAUCUUUGACAAGCUGAAGGAGGCGGUGAAGGACGAGAGUAUCAAGAGGCACAAGUGGAACGAGACAGCCAUGGACAGCCUGAGGGUGAUCCAGCACAAUACUCUGGAGGACCGCUCCAUCACAGACAAGCCCCAGUGGGACGCAGCCAUCCAGUUCAUGGAGGAGACUCUGCAGGCACGCCUCAAAGACACUGACUCUGUGAUAAAUGACAUGGCAGGUCCUUACUGGAAACAACGCUGGAUGAGCUGGAUGAGCCGGUCGCCCGAACAGCACAUCUGCAACGAAACCAAAAAGGAGCUGGAGCGCCUGCUAAAACUCCAUGAGGACCACACAGCCUACCUGGCCAAUGACGAGGUCACCACCGUCCGCAAGAACCUGGAGGGUCGAGGAGUGGAUGUAGACCCUGUCCUGAUCAAGGACACGUGGCACCAGCUGUACCGACGUCACUUCCUGCAGAAGGCGCUGCAUCACUGUAACCUGUGUAGACGAGGCUUCUACUACUACCAGAGACAAUUUGUUGACUCGGAGAAAUCCCGGUUGGCAGAUUCCUGGAAAGGUUUUUGGAAUAUCUUGGAAAUCUGGGAAAGAUAUUGGAAUUUUGUAACCCUUUAUGGACUGUACUGGAGUGCAAUGAUGUAGUCCUGUUCUGGAGGAUUCAGAGGAUGCUGCUCAUCACAGCCAACACACUCAGACAGCAGCUCAUCAACACAGAGGUACGGCGCCUGGAAAAGAACGUGAAGGAGGUGCUGGAGGACUUUGGUGAGGACAACGAGAGGAAGGUCCACCUCAUCACCGGACGCAGAGUACAGCUGGCAGAAGACCUUAAGAAGGUCCGUGAGAUUCAGGAGAAACUUGAAGCCUUCAUAGAAGCUCUUCACGAGGAGAAGUAGAGCACCAGAAACCAAUGGAUCACAGAAGCAUUGCACGGAUCAAAUGACUGAACCCCCCCAGUGAUGCCCAACCGUUGCUCUUAGUUUUUUCCUGCGAGUGGAGUUUAUCAGAUGGAGCCCUUAACACUGAGGAGGAUCAGGUUAUCAGUGUGGCUGAGCAGAUAGCACUUCCUCAGCUCAGUGGGCACCAUGCUUUAAAGGCCCAUGAUGAGUUCACCAGACAUGUCCUCUUCACACAGGAAUCCAACAACUGUCUCCGGGCUUUUUUGCUCUGCUUUUUUGGCAGAGAAGACGAAGAGAGAAGGACAAGAUUGAAGUUACACCUCGUGAAUGACUGACGGAUCGACCUCUCAUGUCGUCUUCCUCUCUCUCAUUGCUCCCUCGUUUCUAAUAAAUGAGGAGGUUGUGAAGGUUUUCUCUCUCACUGCCAACUUCCUUUCCUUUGUUUGGGAAUGUGUUUAAUCGGCUUGAGCACCUGUCAGAAGGUGUGUCCCAAAUUGCACUGGUCAAAAGUAGUGCACUGUAGAGGGAGUAGGAUGCCAUUUGGGACGCGACCAGAAUGUCUGCUGGUGAGUCGGUUACAGACGUGGUGUGUGAUGGAAGGGUGAUGGGAACCACCCUCCUCUCUGUAGAUUGACUAGCUGUAAAUGAACGCAAGGGUUCAGCCUGUUGGGCUGAAGCCAUUCUCCUGCCUGUUGUUAGCACUCGUUCCACUUAGGACUUCAUGUGAAUUCACAUCAGUUAUCCCAGCGGCUAGCUUUAACCCAGCUCUACACGUGCAUCACUAACCAUAUAGAUACAGGCCUCACUUAUUAACCCUCACUUGCACAACCUCCAUCCUCCUAAAACUAGAAUAUAUGAACAAUGGAUAGAAUAUUCCACACUAGUUGUAAUAAAGAUAAUAUAGAUUGGAUUUCUUAUUUCAGAGAGUUAUGUCUGCUAUUGAUAGGCAGAGUGCAAUGCCCCACUAUGUACCACUCUCUCUGCCCUACUGUGUGUGCACCUCAUCACAAGGGUUUAUAGGAUGGCAUUUAAUUUCACUGUUGGACGAAACAGCCUCUACUAUCUUUGUUCUGGGUGAAGAUCCAGUGUUGGACUAGAAUCUAGUUCAAACUGCAGUGGAUGGAACUACAUUGUCCAAUCACGUUGGGGGAAAGAUGCUAGUGACCUCGUUCUAUUCAAACGUGGUGACACAGCUGCACAGGCGUCUUUGGGUUCUUGGUACAUUCAUUCCUUUAACUUUGUCUGCUUCUUCAUGCUCUCCUGCCUCUGGGCAGGUCACACUGUCUGACUUGCUGGUCUCUACUCGUCUCUCCUGAGGGACCUUUUUCUCUCUCUGCUCUACUCCAUCCAUCCUUGUUUUCUUUAUUCUUGAUCCUUGCUCUUCUCUCAAGCCCUCUAUCGUCUAUCCUCUCUGUCUCCUAUUUCACCCCCCACUCUUUGUUCCCGGCUCUAAAGAGUGGAAUGAAACGGUGACUGGUAUACUUAACCCCGGUCCUUCAUGUGUAUAUGGGUUAAUACCGUACAUCGUGUACAUGUAAAGUUAAUACCAAUCAUGCAUCUGUUGCUUAUGGGAGGAGUGUCAGUGUGAUGCUCUUGUAACAAGAUAUCCAUGGGAUGGUUCAACACCUACAGUUCUCUUUGAUGUUAUAGAAUGUAAUGUUUGCAUGAUAUACCCCAUCAGAUGUGCUUUAUUUAUUACAAAUUUGAUUGUUUAAGAAAGUGAAAAUAAAAUUGAUGUUAAUAAAAAUGUAAUUUUCCAAGAA